UACAGAGGUCCCAAGCGUUGUUCGGAUUCACUGGGCGUAAAGGGUGCGUAGGUGGCCAGGUAAGUCUGAUGUGAAAUCUCGGAGCUCAACUCCGAAACUGCAUUGGAUACUAUCUGGCUGGAGGGUCGGAGGGGGGACUGGAAUUCUCGGUGUAACAGUGAAAUGCGUAGAUAUCGAGAGGAACACCAGUGGCGAAGGCGAGUCCCUGGACGACUCCUGACACUGAGGCACGAAAGCUAGGGGAGCAAACAGG
rnacentral:rRNA from 1 species